rnacentral:rRNA from 1 species
AUUGAACGCUGGCGGCAGGCUUAACACAUGCAGUCGAGCGGAUGAAGGGAGCUUGCUCCUGGAUUCAGCGGCGGACGGGUGAGUAAUGCCUAGGAAUCUGCCUGGUAGUGGGGGAUAACGUCCGGAAACGGGCGCUAAUACCGCAUACGUCCUGAGGGAGAAAGUGGGGGAUCUUCGGACCUCACGCUAUCAGAUGAGCCUAGGUCGGAUUAGCUAGUUGGUGGGGUAAAGGCCUACCAAGGCGACGAUCCGUAACUGGUCUGAGAGGAUGAUCAGUCACACUGGAACUGAGACACGGUCCAGACUCCUACGGGAGGCAGCAGUGGGGAAUAUUGGACAAUGGGCGAAAGCCUGAUCCAGCCAUGCCGCGUGUGUGAAGAAGGUCUUCGGAUUGUAAAGCACUUUAAGUUGGGAGGAAGGGCAGUAAGUUAAUACCUUGCUGUUUUGACGUUACCAACAGAAUAAGCACCGCUAACUUC